AUUGAACGCUGGCGGCAUGCCUAACACAUGCAAGUCGAACGGCAGCACAGUAAAGAUUUCGGUCUUUAUGGGUGGCGAGUGGCGGACGGGUGAGUAAAGCGUAGGAAUCUGUCCUGGAGCGUGGGAUAACCCGAGGAAACUCGGGCUAAUACCACAUGAUAUCGAGAGAUCAAAAGCAGGGGACCGAAAGGCCUUGCGCUCUGGGGUGAGCCUACGUCGGAUUAGCUAGUUGGUGGGGUAAAGGCCUACCAAGGCGACGAUCCGUAGCUGGUCUGAGGGGAUGACCAGCCAGACUGGGACUGAGACACGGCCCAGACUCCUACGGGAGGCAGCAGUGGGGAAUCCUGGACAAUGGGGGAAACCCUGAUCCAGCGAUGCCGCGUGUGUGAAGAAGGCCUUCGGGUUGUAAAGCACUUUAGGUGAGGAAGAAAGGUAACGAGCGAAUAACUCGUUGCUAUGACGGUACCCGCAGAAUAAGCACCGGCUAACUCUGUGCCAGCCGCCGCAGUAA
rnacentral:rRNA from 1 species